AGCAGCCGCGGUAAUUCCAGCUCCAAUAGCGUAUAUUAAAGUUGUUGCAGUUAAAAGCUCGUAGUUGAAUUUCGGGAUCAAUAUAUCGGUCGUGCCUUGGUACGUACUGGUAUCAUUGGUUUCUCCUUUCUGACGAACCAUGAUGUCAUUAAUUUGGUGUUAUGGGAAGUUAGGACUGUUACUUUGAAAAUUAGAGUGUUUAAAGCAGGCUUUAGCUUGAAUACAUUAGCAUGGAAUAAUGAAAUAGGACGUUCGAACCUAUUUUGUUGGUUUCUAGGAUCAACGUAAUGAUUAAUAGGGAUAGUUGGGGGCAUUAGUAUUCAAUUGUCAGAGGUGAAAUUCUUGGAUUUAUUGAAGACUAACUACUGCGAAAGCAUUUGCCAAGGAUGUUUUCAUUAAUCAAGAACGAAAGUUAGGGGAUCGAAGACGAUCAGAUACCGUCGUAGUCUUAACCAUAAACUAUGCCGACUAGGGAUCGGAUGAUGUUAAUUUUUUAAUGACUCA
rnacentral:rRNA from 1 species